AUUGAACGCUGGCGGCAGGCCUACCACAUGCAAGUCGAACGAGUGGCGGACGGGUGAGUAAUGUCUGGGAAACUGCCCGAUGGAGGGGGAUAACUACUGGAAACGGUAGCUAAUACCGCAUACCAUCGGAUGUGCCCAGAUGGGAUUAGCUAGUAGGGGGGGUAAAGGCUCACAUAGGCGACGAUCCCUAGCUGGUCUGAGAGGAUGACCAGCACGACUGGAAUUGAGGCACGGUACCGACGCCUACGGGAGUCAGCAGUGGGGAAUAGUGCACAAUGGGCGCAAUCCGGAUGCAGCCAUGCCGCGUGUAUGAAGAAGGCCUGCGGGUUGUAAAGUACUUUCAGCGGGGAGGCGUUACCCGCAGAAGAAGCACCGGCUAACUCCGUGCCAGCAGCCGCGGUAAUAC
rnacentral:rRNA from 1 species